CGCAAGCCUGACGGAGCAAGACCGCGUGAGGGAGGAAGGCUCUUGGGUUGUAAACCUCUUUUCUCAGGGAAGAAACCUGACGGUACCUGAGGAAUCAGCAUCGGCUAACUCCGUGCCAGCAGCCGCGGUAAGACGGAGGAUGCAAGCGUUAUCCGGAAUUAUUGGGCGUAAAGCGUCCGCAGGUGGUGAGUCAAGUCUGCUGUCAAAGCACGGAACUUAACUCCGUUAAGGCAGUGGAAACUGAAUGGCUAGAGUGCCGUAGGGGUAGAGGGAAUUCCCGGUGUAGCGGUGAAAUGCGUAGAGAUCGGGAAGAACAUCGGUGGCGAAAGCGCUCUACUGGACGGCAACUGACACUCAGGGACGAAAGCUAGGGGAGCG
rnacentral:rRNA from 1 species